UACGUAGGGUGCAAGCGUUAAUCGGAAUACUGGGCGUAAAGCGUGCGCAGGCGGUUCUGUAAGACAGAUGUGAAAUGCCCGGGCUUAACCUGGGAACUGCAUUUGUGACUGCAAAGCUAGAGUGUGUCAGAGGGGGGGGUAGAAUUCCACGUGUAGCAGUGAAAUGCGUAGAUAUGUGGAGGAAUACCGAUGGCGAAGGCAGCCCCCUGGGAUAACACUGACGCUCAUGCCACGAAAAGCG
rnacentral:rRNA from 1 species